rnacentral:lncRNA from 1 species
UUUUUCAUUUUUUUUAUUACUCAAAUGAAUUUAUCACAUCUGUAGUUGUAUAAUGAUCAUAACAAUCUGAUUUCACAGGAUUUCCAUCCCACAGCCCAAGCACAUCCCCCACCCCCAAACUCUCUCCUCAAGAGACCAUAAGCUUUUCAAUGUCUGUGAGUCAGCAUCUGUUCUGCAAAGAAGUUCUGUCUGUCCUUUUUUCAGAUUCCACAUGUCAGUGAAAGCAUUUGAUGUUGGUGUCUCAUUGUAUGGCUGACUUCACUUAGCAUGAUAGUUUCUAGGUCCAUCCAUGUUGCUAAAAAUGCUGGUAUUUCAUUCUUUUUAAUGGCUUAGUAAUAUUCCAUUGUGUAUAUGUACCACUUCAUCUUGAUCCAUUCCUCUGUCGAUGGACAUCUAGGUUGUUUCCAUGUUUUGGCUAUUGUAAAUUGUGCUGCAAUGAACAUUGGAGUACAUGUGUCUUUGCAAGUCGUGGUUUUCUCUGGAUAGAUGCCCAGGAGUGGGAUUGCUGGAUCAAAUGGGAGUUCUAUGUUUAGUUUUCUGAGGACUCUCCAUACUGCUUUCCACAGAGGUUACACCAAUUUACAAUCCCACCAACAUGUACUAGGGUUCCUUUUUCUCCACACCCACUCCAGUACUUAUUGUUGGUAGACUUUUGGAUGAUGGCCAUUCUGGCUGGUGUGAGGUGGUACCUCAGAGUGGUUUUGAUUUGCAUUUCUCUAAGUAUGAGUGAUGUUGAUCAUCUUUUCAUGUGUUUUUUGGUCACCUGUAUGUCUUCUUUGGAGAACUGUCUAUUUAGAUCAUCUGCCCAUUUUUUGAUGGGGUUGUAUUGUUUUUUUAGUAUGGAGCUGCAGAAGGUGUUUAUAAAUUUUGGAGAUGAAUCCCUUGUCAGUCGAUUCAUUUGCAAAGAUUUUCUCCCAUUCUGUGGGUUGUCUUUUUGUGUUGUUUAGGGUUUCCUUUGCUGUGUGGAAACUAUUAAGUUUGAUUAGGUCUCAUUUGUUUCUUUUUGUUUUUACUGUCAUUACUCUAAGAGGUGGACCUGAGAAGAUGUUUAUGUUGGAGAGUGUUUGGCCUAUGUUUUCCUCUAAGAGUUUUAGAGUGUCUGGUCUUAUAUCUAGGUCUUUAAUCCAUUUGGAGUUUAUUUUUGUGUAUGGUGUUAGGGAGUGUUCUAAUUUCAUUCUUUUACGUGUGUCUGUCCAGUUUUCCCAGCACCACUUAUUGAAGGGCUAUCUUUUCUCCAUUGUAUGUUUUUGCCUCCUUUGUCAUAGAUUAGUUGACUGUAGGUGCAUGCAUUGAAUUCUGGGCUUUC